UACGUAGGGUGCGAGCGUUAAUCGGAAUUACUGGGCGUAAAGGGUGCGCAGGCGGCGUCGCAAGUCAGGCGUGAAAGCCCCCGGCUCAACUGGGGAGGGUCACGCGAUACUGAUCGACUCGAAGGCAGGAGAGGGUAGUGGAAUUCCCGGUGUAGUGGUGAAAUGCGUAGAUAUCGGGAGGAACACCAGUGGCGAAGGCGACUACCUGGCCUGUUUCUUGACGCUGAGGCGCGAAAGCUAGGGGAGCAAACGGG
rnacentral:rRNA from 1 species